rnacentral:rRNA from 1 species
AUUGAACGCUGGCGGCAUGCCUUACACAUGCAAGUCGAACGGCAGCACGGGAGCAAUCCUGGUGGCGAGUGGCGAACGGGUGAGUAAUAUAUCGGAACGUGCCCAGUAGUGGGGGAUAACUGCUCGAAAGAGCAGCUAAUACCGCAUACGACCUGAGGGUGAAAGGGGGGGAUCGCAAGACCUCUCGCUAUUGGAGCGGCCGAUAUUAGAUUAGCUAGUUGGUGGGGUAAAGGCCUACCAAGGCAACGAUCUGUAGUUGGUCUGAGAGGACGACCAGCCACACUGGGAUUGAGACACGGCCCAGACUCCUACGGGAGGCAGCAGUGGGGAAUUUUGGACAAUGGGCGCAAGCCUGAUCCAGCAAUGCCGCGUGCAGGAAGAAGGCCUUCGGGUUGUAAACUGCUUUUGUCAGGGAAGAAAUCCUCUAGGUUAAUACCCUUGGGGGGAUGACGGUACCUGAAGAGUAAGCACCGGCUAACUACGUGCCAGCCGCCGCAGUAACAC